rnacentral:rRNA from 1 species
UACGGAGGGUGCGAGCGUUGUCCGGAAUCACUGGGCGUAAAGGGCUCGUAGGCGGCCAACUAAGUCGGAUGUGAAAUCCCCAAGCUUAACUUGGGAACUGCAUCCGAUACUGGAUGGCUUGAAUCCGGGAGAGGGAUGCAGAAUUCCAGGUGUAGCGGUGAAAUGCGUAGAUAUCUGGAGGAAUACCGGUGGCGAAGGCGGCAUCCUGGACCGGCAUUGACGCUGAGGAGCGAAAGCUAGGGGAGCAAACGGG